UACGAAGGGGCUAGCGUUGCUCGGAAUUACUGGCGUAAAGCGCACGUAGGCGGUCUUUAAGUCGGGGUGAAAUCCUGGAGCUCAACUCCAGAACUGCCUUUGAUACUGAAGAUCUUGAGUUCGGGAGAGGUGAGUGGAACUGGCGAGUGUAGAGGUGAAAUUCGUAGAUAUUCGCAAGAACACCAGUGGCGAAGGCGGCUCACUGGCCCGAGUACUGACGCUGAGGCACGAAAGCGUGGGGAGCAACAGG
rnacentral:rRNA from 1 species